rnacentral:rRNA from 1 species
GACGAACGCUGACGGCGUGCUUAACACAUGCAAGUCGAACGGUGAAGCGCCUUCCUUUUUGGUGGGUGUGGAUGAGUGGCGAACGGGUGAGUAACACGUGAGUAACCUGCCCCCUUCUUCUGGAUAACCGCAUGAAAGUGUGGCUAAUACGGGAUAUUCUGGGUCUGUCGCAUGAUGGGUCUGGGAAAGAUAUUGUUUCGGUGGGGGAUGGGCUCGCGGCCUAUCAGCUUGUUGGUGGGGUGAUGGCCUACCAAGGCGGUGACGGGUAGCCGGCCUGAGAGGGUGGACGGUCACACUGGGACUGAGACACGGCCCAGACUCCUACGGGAGGCAGCAGUGGGGAAUAGUGCACAAUGGGCGCAAGCCUGAUGCAGCGACGCCGCGUGAGGGAUGGAGGCCUUCGGGUUGUGAACCUCUUUCGCCAGUGAAGCAGGCCUGCCUCGUUUGUGGGUGGGUUGACGGUAGCUGGAUAAGAAGCGCCGGCUAACUACGUG